AUUGAACGUAGGCGUCAGGACUAACACAUGCAAGUCGAACGAGUGGCGGACGUGUGAGUCAUGUCUGGGAGACUGCCCGAUGGAGGGGGAUAACUACUGGAAACGCUAGCUAAUACCGCAUACCAUCGGCUUUGCCCAGAUUGGAUUAGCUAGUAGGUGGGGUAACGGCUAACCUAGGCGACGAUCCCUAGCUGGGCUGAGAGGAUGACCAGCCACACUGGAACUGAGACACGGUCCAGACUCCUACGGGAGGCAGCAGUGGGGAAUAUUGCACAAUGGGCGCAAGCCUGAUGCAGCCAUGCCGCGUGUAUGAAGAAGGCCUUCGGGUUGUAAAGUACUUGCAGCGAGGAGGCGUUACUCGCAGAAGAAGCACCGGCUAACUCCGUGCCAGCCGCCGCGGUAAUAC
rnacentral:rRNA from 1 species